UACGUAGGGAGCUAGCGUUGUCCGGAAUCAUUGGGCGUAAGCGCGCGUAGGCGGCCCGGUAAGUCCGCUGUGAAAGUCAAAGGCUCAACCUUUGAAUGUCAGCGGAUACUGCCGGGCUAGAGUCCGGAAGAGGCGAGUGGAACUCCUGGUGUAGCGGUGGAAUGCGCAGAUAGCAGGAAGAACACCAACGGCGAAGGCAGCUCGCUGGGACGGAACUGACGCUAAGGCGCGAAAAGCGUGGGGAGCGAACAGG
rnacentral:rRNA from 1 species